rnacentral:rRNA from 1 species
CAGCAGCCGCGGUAAAACGUAGGUGGCAAGCGUUGUCCGGAAUUAUUGGGCGUAAAGCGCGCGCAGGCGGAUUAGUCAGUCUGUCUUAAAAGUUCGGGGCUUAACCCCGUGAUGGGAUGGAAACUGCUGAUCUUGAGUAUCGGAGAGGAAAGUGGAAUUCCUAGUGUAGCGGUGAAAUGCGUAGAUAUUAGGAAGAACACCAGUGGCGAAGGCGACUUUCUGGACGAAAACUGACGCUGAGGCGCGAAAGCCAGGGGAGCGAACGGGAUUAGAUACCCCGGUAGUCCCUGUCUCUUAUACA